rnacentral:misc_RNA from 1 species
UUGUGUGGGUCUGCUAGGCCUUUGGGCUUGGUGGGUGUACAUCGGCAUGGUGGUUUCGGGGAAUGUUUACCGUAAAGGUGCGUGAGUGGUGUUUGGCAUGUUGCGGGUGGUUGGAUGUCUGCGUUCGCAGCAACGUCCACCCGGGCAUGCCUCUUCAUUUGCGUGCAAGGCUCGUUGUUUCGUCCUUGUGCAAUCGUCGGGCUUCCCUGUGUUGGCUUCCUACAUGACGGUAUUGAGUUGCGAUAUCGAAGUACCUUUCGUCGUGCGUUGCUCAUGGGGCGUGCGGUGAACCAUAAAGUGGCCUCUUUGAUCCAUUUAGUUGAUGCUUGUGUGUUGAUGAUAUGGCUCAUUGGACGCUGCCCGGUCUCUUGGAUACAGAACCUUGUUUGGGCAUGGGGUCCUUAUCGAUCCUGUGUUUGCCCAUGUCGAGCGUUCUCGCUUCUCUGAACGAUUGUCGGUUUCGUGUUGACUUGCUCAUGCGUGCCCGACGUUGUCGAA